CAGUAGCCGCGGUAACACGAAGGGUGCAAGCGUUAACCGGAAUUACUGGGCGUAAAGCGUGCGUAGGCGGUUUGUUAAGCCUGUUGUGAAUCCCCGGGCUCAACCUGGGAAUGGCAAUGGAUACUGGCAAGCUAGAGUGUGUCAGAGGAUGGUGGAAUUCCCGGUGUAGCGGUGAAAUGCGUAGAGAUCGGGAGGAACACCGAUGGCGAAGGCAGCCCCCUGGGCCAAUACUGACGCUCAUGCACGAAAGCGUGGGGAGCAAACAGGAUUAGAUACCCGCGUAGUCCCUGUCUCUUAUACC
rnacentral:rRNA from 1 species